rnacentral:tRNA from 1 species
GGAGCAGUGGCCGAGUGGUUUAAGGCACCCGACUUGAAAUCGGACGAACCUGAGAGGGUUCCGUGGGUUCGAAUCCCACCUGCUCCGCCA